GCUGCUGCCGGAUUUGCCUGCUACCUUGGAUGACUUCGGGAGGCUGGCGGCACCGAAGAGGCCUCCUGAGAGCUGGGCCCCUGGCGGAACUCUUAGCCGGUGGCGUGGCCUUAUCUCAGGUUGCUGGACAUGAAGGAGGCCAAGGCUGCUUUGGAAAGUUCCGUGGCCAUAUCUCAAGGAUGUCAUUGUAGGAACUGAUCACUUAGAUACUUCAAAAGUUAUACAGCUCCCCACAAAUACAGCAGGUGCAGUAUUUCCAAAGAAAAGGGAGUUUGGGAGUGGUAAUCUGGUGAGCAGCUGGCCCAGGGAACUGGUCGUGAAGCUCUGUUUGCACAACAGUGUUUUUAUUGGAAUUGUUUGUGGGGAAGGGGCUGCAGUCCCUCCACCUACCCCUUGGCAACCAUCAUGAUGAUGAGGUGUUACUUUGAAUUUGGUUACCUAGAGGCCUAAAUCGAGAUUGGGGUAUAAAGAAUAAUACUUGAGAUGGCUUCCAGCUAACAAAGCCUUUCCACAAAUAUUUUUAUUAUAAUACAGCCAACAUUUUGCUGCAGUCAUUCUUGUGUCAGACUGUAGCUAGGGUAUUAAGGAGCCAGAGUGAGAAAAUACUUUAAAAGCUAACUUUAACCAAUCCCGUGAAAGUAGUAAGGUAGGAUUGAUGUUCUUAUCCUUUUUACAAAUGAGGAAAUUGAGGCUUAGUGAGAUAAUGUGCCUCUCAGUAUAUAUAGAAUGUAAGGCCUGCCCAAUCUGGGAAAGUGUAGACAGUUUAUUAGUGAAAUAUUUACAAAAACGAAAGGCUUAAGGUCCUAGUGGGCCUGAGACUUAAGUAUUUCGCUUACCUUUUUUUGAACGGAAAAUUGAAUAUUUGAACUCUCCAAAGCCAUGGAUACUGGCUUCUCUGGGUAGGUCUGUAUGCACAAUCUAAAGAAGAGUGCAGUAACCAAUAGGAGAACCUCAACUUACAUAAACAUCCACCCCUAAUGGAGUGGAAUGUGAUGUGAUAUACUGGCAUUAAGGAUUGGCUAAGUCCCAUCUAUCUUAAACAAUGCUUAGUUUAAAUAUAUUCUAGGCUGGGCGUGGUGGCUCACACCUGUAAUCCCAGCACUUUGGGAGGCCUAGGCGGGUGGAUUACCUGAGGUCAGAGUUCCAGAACAGGCUGGCCAACAUCAUGAAACCUGUCUCUACUAAAAAUACAAAAAUUAGCCAGGCGUGGUGGCAUGCGCCUAUAAUCCCAGCUACUCGGGAGGCUGAGGCAGGAGAAUCGCUUGAACCCGGGAGGUGGAGGUUGCAGGGAGCCAAGAUCAUGCCAUUGCACACCAGCCUGGGUGACAACAGCGAAACUCCAUCUCAAAAUAAACAAAUAAAUAAAUAAAUUCUAGUGGUCACCUGUGCUUAAUGGCUAAGAAUGUUGGCAUGCACACAAUAUAGGAUCCUGAUAUUCUUUCUUCUUUAGCUUCUGACUCUAUUGACCCAUCCCUCUUUGUUGAAACUGGAUUUUCCUUAAAAUGCACCAAAAAGUUGUCUUUUUAUCUCUGUGAUUGCUCUUGGUUGCCUUUGCUAGCUCCUUUUCCUAUGUCUGGCCUUCAGGAGCUUUAAGUGUUGGAUUUCUUCAGUAUUUCUAUUCCUAAUCCUUUUCUCAUCUUACUCUUCCUUGGAGCACUUGUUUAAAAAUACAGACUUGUUGGCCAGGUGCGGUGGCUCACACCUGUAAUCCCAGCACUUUGACAGGCCAAGGCAGGUGGAUCACCUGAGGUCAGGAGUUCGAGACCAGCUUGGCCAACAUGGUGAAACCCUGUCUCUACUUAAAAAUACAAAAAAUUAGCCAGGUGUGGUGGUGGACACCUGUAAUCCAGCUACUUGGGAGGCUGAGGCAGGAGAAUUCUUGAACCUGGGAGGUGGAGGUUGCAGUGAGCCAAGAUCGUGCCACUGCAUUCCAGCCUGGGCAACAAGAGUGAAACUCCACCUCAAAAUAAAUAAAUAAAUAAAAUACGGACUUGUUAAAAUACCCUUAAUAUGCUCUAUGUUUUAACAACUCUGUUCUGUGCUCCAGACCCAGAUAACUAUAUUCAUCCUCAGUUCAAUUGUCAGUGUCAUAUUAGGCCCCAAACUCAACAAGUUCAAAACAAAACUUCUUUCCCAAACUUCUUAUUGACACUCACUUUUUAUUUUUCUUUUUUUUUUUAGAUGGAGUUUCGCCCUUGUUGCCCAGGCUGGAGUGCAGUGGCACAAUCUCAGCUCACUGCAACCUCCACCUCCUGGGUUCAAGCAAUUCUCCUGCCUCAGCCUCCCGAGUAGCUGGGAUUACAGGCCCCCCCCAACCAUCAUACCUGGCUACUCACUGACACUUAUUAGGGAGAAAACAUUCAGUCUCUCACCAAUAACCUGUAGGUUUUCAUAGAUGCCCUUUAUCAAGUUGAGGAAGUUUCCUUCUGUUCCUAUUUUGCUGAGAGUUUUGGUCAAGAAUGGAUGCUGUCAAAUGCUUUCUCUGUGGCUAUUCAAAUGACUAUAUAGUUUUUCUUUUUUCAGUUUUUGAAUGUGUUAAAUUACAGUCAUUGCUUUUUUUGUUUAUUUGUUUUGAGAUGGAGUUUCACUCUUGUCGCCUAGGCUGAAGUGCAAUGGUGCAAUCUUGGCUUACUGCAAUCUCUACCUCCUGGGCUCAAGCAAUUCUCCUGCCUCAGCCUCCCGAGUAGCUGGGAUUACAGAUGUGUGCCACCACACCCAGCUAAUUUUUGUAUUACUAGUAGAGACCGCGUUUCACCAUGUUGGCCAGGCUGGUCUCGAACUCUGACCUCAAGUGAUCUUCCCGCCUCAGCCUCCCAAAGUGCUGGGAUUACAGGCAUGAGCCACUGUGCCCGGCCCUGUUUCAUAUAUUUUGUCUGAGUUUUUUUGUUUGUUUCAGGCAGGAGGGUAAAUCCAAUCCCUGUUACCUCCUCUUUGACAGAAGCAGAAGUCUGGAAAUCUUUUUUUGUUGUUGUUGUUCCUGUAGAUCCAUGCCUGCUGAAUGGAAGUCUCUUUUAAUGAUACAUUGAGGCAGCUUAAACCUACAAGGUCUUCCUUCUUUACCUGUCAUAUAAAUAUUUUUGUUAAGGGACAAAGUUGCCUUGAAUUCAAAAAACGUAGGCAGCAUAGAACAGUGAUGUUGAGUCCUUUAAAUGCAAUUGUAUGAUUUCUAGGACCAAUACAUUUUUUCAAAAUACAGUUGCUAAAACCCACAGAUAGAAAUUUCAUACAAUGUUUCAGAUUUGGUAUGUAUCAUGUCAUAAAAUAUGUAUUUCAGGAAUAAUACAUGGUUACCUUAUUUCAUCUUUCAAAAUGUUUAAUAUUUUCAACCUCCCAUUAACAAAAAAUUAGCUUUUAAACUUAUGAGAAAUAUUAGUUGUUAAGAUGUGGAAGGAGGUACACAGUUUUGCAAAAUUCUUUUAGGGCAGUAUGUGAGUAUGUGAGAUUUUUUUUUUUUUUUUGGGGGGUGGACAGAAUCUCACUCUGUUGCCUAGGCUAGAGUGCAGUGGCACAAUCUCGGCUCACUGCAACCUCUGCGUCCUGGGUACAAGCCAUUCUUCUGCCUCAGCCUCCCAAGUAGCUGGAAUUACAGGUGCGCAGCACCAUGCCUGGCUAAUUUUUUUUUUUUUUUUUUUUGAGACAGAGUCUCGCUCUUGCCACCCAGGCUGGAGUGCAAUGGUGCGAACUUGGCUCACCGCACCCUCCACCUCCUGGGUUCAAGUGAUUCUCCUGCCUCAGCCUCCUGUGUAGCUGGGAUUACACCUGUGCACCGCUAUGUCUGGCUAAUUUUUUUGUAUUUUUAGUGAAGAUGGGGCUUUGCCAUGUUGGCCAACCUGGUCUCAAACUCCUGACCUCAAGUGAUCCACCCGCCUUGGCCUCCCAAAGUGUUGGGAUUACAAGCAUGAGCCACUGUGCCCAGCAAAAACUUUUUUUUAAUUGAAGACAACCAUUCUAAAAUACAAAUGUGAUCAUUUUAUGGCUCCCCACAGCUCUCAGGAAGAACUCCAAACUUCUAGCAUUUCUUAUUAGGCACUUGGAGGUUUGGCUAGCCCUUGUUUACCUUGCAGCCUGCUCUCUUACCACUGCCCCCAUCACUCUACUCUCUAGCCAUAUUAAACUGCUUCAACUCCAUAAACAUGACAUGUUCUGUCUUGACGUGGGCCUUUUGUACAUAAAUAUCUUCUGUGUGGAGUAUUUCUGAUUCCCUCCCCACAACUCUGAAGUCUUGGGUUACAUGUCUCCUCCUCUUGUGAUCCCAUAACCCUUUCCUCUUCAUUAAUACUUGCCACCUUCUACUUUUUUUGUUUUUGUUUUUGUUUUGUUUUGUUUUUGAGAUGGAGUCUCGCUCUGUUGCCCAGGCUGGAAUGCAGUGGCGCAAUCUCGACUCACUGCCACCUCCACCUCCAGGGUUCAAGCAAUUCUCCUGCCUCAGCCUCCCAAAUAGAUGGGACUACAGGCGUGCAUCACCAUGCCUGGCUAAUUUUGUAUUUGUAGUAGAGAUAGGGUUUCAACAUGUUGGCCAAGCUAGUCUCGAACUCCUGACCUCGGGUGAGCCACCUUCCUCAACCUCCCAAAGUGCUGGGAUUACAGGCCUGAGCCACCGUGCCUGGCCUAGAUAUUACUAUACUCUUGUCACCCUUUUAUGAUUGAGAAAACAGAGAAAUUAACUAGCCUGAGGCCUGAGCCCACAUAGGUAGUAAACCACAGAACUGAGAUUCAAACCAAGCUAACUGGUUCUAGCCUUUAUAUUGUUUGUUAAACAUUCCAAGUAUACUUAACCAAUCUCAAAAGGCACAAGCAUCACUGGGAAAAUUUUCUUUUUCUUUUCUUUUUUUUUUGGACGGAGUCUCACUCUGUCGUCCAGGCUGGAGUACAGUGGCACGAUCUCAGCUCACUGCAACCUCCAACUCUUGGGCUCAAGCAAUUCUCCUGCCUCAGCCUCCCAGGCAGCUGGGAUUACAGGCACCCACCAUCAUGCCUGGCUAAUUUUUUGUAUUUUUAGUAGAGACAGGGUAUCACCAUGUUGGUCAGGCUGGUCUUGAACUCCCGACCUCAGGUGAUCCGCCAGCCUCGGCCUCCCAAAGUGCUGGGAUUACAGGCGUGAGCCACCGCUCCUGGCCUCUUUUUUUUUUUUUUUUUUAGACAGAGUCUCGCUCUGUUACCCAGGCUGGAGUGCGGUGAUGUGAUCUCAGCCCACUGCAACCUCCCUUGCCCUGGUUCAAGCGAUCCUCCUACCUGAGCCUCUGGAGUAGCUGGGACUAUAGGCACACACCACCUCACUAGGCUAAUUUUUUGUAUUUUUAGUAGAGACAGGGUUUCACCAUGUUGGCCAUGCUGGUCUCAAACUCCUGACCUCAGGUGAGCCGCAGGCCUCGGCCUCCCAGAGUGUUGGGAUUACAGGUGUGGGCGACUGUGCCCAGCCUCAAGGCCCAGAUUUCUAAACUGAAAGUAAAAUAUCUGGAGUAC
rnacentral:lncRNA from 1 species